CUGUGUGCUUUGCAGGACAGCAGCCAGAUGUGACCGAAAGACCUUUGUGGCCAUGUGCACAAAUUAUUUCAAAUGCCUAAAAUUCCACUCCCUGGAAUAGCUCCUUGGCCAAGCCUACUUCUCUGCUGGGAUCUUCCUGCCCCUCAUGCUGCCUGCCACUGGCUCCUUCCCGUGCCUGGUUGUCCCCUCCCAUCCUCUGGGGGUGUAGACUUCCUGCUGUUGGGUGUAUCCAGUCCACUUGGGUGUACCCAGUCCAGAGAUCAGCCCAUGCCUCAGACCAGAAUCCCUGCAGCUUGGCUGCUGCUGCAGAUGAACCAGAACUGAAUUUCGGAGAGAAAGUCCACUCCUCUGUAGUUUCUGGUUCUCUUUUUCCAGUGGUGGUACAAUGAACUUGAUCUAAAAUGAUCGCCUUCGCCGUUUUGGAAGAAGUGUAGUGUAUGGUUCCGUGGCAUUAAAUACACUCAUAUUGCUGGGAAACUUACCAUCUCCAGAGCUCUUUCCAUGUUGCAAACCUGAAACUUUGUAGCCAUUUAACAGUCACUCCCCCAGCCCCUAGCAACCACCAUUCUACUUUCCAAGACUUUCCCUACUCUAGGUAUCUCCUAAAAGUGGAACCACAUUUUUCCUUUUGUGAUGGAGUUAGUUCACUCAACAUAAUGUCUUGAAGGUUCCUCCAGGCUGAACCUGUAACAGGAUUUCCUUCCUUUUUAAGGCUGAAUAAUAAUCCAUUGUGAAUGGAGACCACAUGUUGUGUAUCUGCUCUUCUGUUGGUAGACCCAUGGGCUGCUCCCAGGUCUUGGCUGAAAUGAAUAAUCUUCCCAUGCACACGAUGUACAAAAACCUCUUUGAGUCCCAGCUUUCAAUUCCACUGAGUAUACACCAUAAAGUCGAAUUGUUGGAUCAUGUAGUAAUUCUAUUUUUAACUUUUUUUUUUUCUUUUAUGGUUGCAGCCAUGGCAUAUAGAAGUUCCCAGACCAGGGAUUGAACCGAGCCUCCAUAGUGACCCCAGCUGCUGCAGUUGGAUUCUUACCAACUGUGCCACAGUGGGAACUCCUAUUUUUAACUUUUUAAUGAGAAACCGCCACACUCUUUUCUUAGCAGCUGCAUCAUAUAUUCUGCAAUUUUUAAGAUGUUCCUGGGUGUUUGCGAUGAGAACGAGAAGGUGAAAGACUAGUGCUGGACUGAUUAGAACUGUCUCCAAUCCACUGAGUCAAUGAAUGGUGACUGCUACUGAAAGCUGUUUUGUUUUUUACAAAACAGUAAAACAGUGGUGUUUUCUCAGUUAGUUCUGGUUAUUCUGAUAAAUGGAUAGGUACUGCGAUGCUCUGCAAAUGGUCCAUGUUAGUAUUUAUAGUUUAAUAUGAAGAUAAUAUUUUAACCAAAAAGGAAUGAAAAGGGCAGACCAGGAUUUGGAGAAUUUAAAAAUGAACUUUUUAAUUUUAAUUUUUUGCUUUUUAGGGCCGCACCCGCGGCAUAUGGAGCGGCCCUAGAAAAGGCAAAAAGACAAUAAAUAAAUAAAUAAAUAAAUUGAACCUUUUAAAAAAAUAAAAACAAAAAAUAAAAAAUAAAUAAAAAAAAAUAAAAACAGCACAGCCAGCCUAACAUCUAAAUUCUUAAUUGUACACAAUAGACUAAGGACAAAGUAAUCAGCAUCAGGCAUACAAUUUAUACAAUUUAUAUCAGUGAUUAGCCAUUCUAUGUCUGAUUUACAGCUUUGGGGUAGAUGGGUACCAAUUUAUUUUUCCUCUACAGAGCUCCAUGCAUGAAGUAUAAUUACAAAUUUGUUUGCAUUUUCUGUGGUGUGGAAUUAAAAUCAUAACCUUUUUGAAGACUUGGGAUAGGUUGCUUUCUUAUCCUUUAUUCUUUCCUCAAAACAAAAAUGGAUGCCAAAUAAAGUGUCUUAUUAUAUGCAAAAUAAGCCCCCUGGUUCCAGUCACCUAACUCUUGGCACUGAUGAAACCAGUUAUAAGAUGAUAGUCAUCCCAAAAAAUCUGGAGUUUUAUAUGCUUAAUUAUGUCAACUUUCCAUUGUGCCGCAUUGAUGUAUCAUUAAUAUGGGCUUUAGUUAACAUUCAGAAAAAUUUCCCUGUAUGUACACUUUGCAAAGCCAAACACAUGAAUUUUCUUGCAGGCAAAUUGUUUUCAGUAAAUGCCAAGAGACUUAAAGUGCUUAAGCAAAGACCGAUGGCUUUAAUGCUGGCUUGAGAAAAUUAUGGUUUGGGAUUAAGCCCCCAUGCCAUCCGUUCAGGCCUCUUUGCUGGGGUCUUGGCCAAGUGCAGUGCUAAGGCUAAGCCGAGUUCCUCCCAGCUCCACUCCCCCGUGCAUUCUCAUGCCCUCCCCAGGCCUGCUCCAGCCCUGGCGCGCCUCCCACCUCCCGCUCUAGCGCAUGUACCAGUACACUCAGCUUCUAUCUGAAGCUGUCUCCUAUGGACAUUGGCUAGUCAGUCAGCUUCACAUCCUACCUCUCCACCUCCACUGAGCGUUUCAGGACGAAAAGCAAACCCAGGAAUAUGUUUUUCUGUCACACCCUUGUUUUACUAUCUCCUCUCACCUAUUCCCGCCCAUCCCCAUACACACAUACAACUCAGUGCUGGAACUGGACAGAAAAGUGGGGGAGAAAAAAGAUCAAGAGUGUUGAGUAACAGGAAAGCUAGAAAGCGGGUUUUUUUCAGGGUUGUAAAUAUACUUUUAAUGAAGACAUAGACAGGUAAAAAAACAAUUUGUCGGGAAAGAGGGCGAAAGGUGAAAACAUGACCACAGCCCCACCAUCCGGGCUCCCCUAAUCACAGAAGCAUCAGAGACGGCUUCCUCCUGCCUUCUGUCUAUGCCUCAAUUCAUCUCUUUGCUGUGAUUGUAUUUUCCGAGCUCUGUUCAGAUACUAUACCAAUAUCUUCCUAUGUCUCUCAUCUGCCUUUAGACUCUCCUCUCAAAGCUGGUCUUCUGCUGCCUCUUCCUGCAGG
rnacentral:lncRNA from 1 species